ACGGCUCAGUAACACGUGGACAACCUAACCUACAGAAGGGGAUAACCCCGGGAAACUGGGGAUAAUACCCUAUAGACUAUGGAUGCUGGGAUGCUCUGUAGCCGAAAGGUCCGCCGCUGUAGGAUGGGUCUGCGGCCGAUUAGGUUGUUGUUGGGGUAACGGCCCAACAAGCCUGUAAUCGGUACGGGUUGUGGGAGCAAGAGCCCGGAGAUGGAUUCUGAGACACGAAUCCAGGCCCUACGGGGCGCAGCAGGCGCGAAAACUUUACAAUGCGGGAAACCGUGAUAAGGGAACUCUGAGUGCCCGUAAAAUCGGGCUGUCCAUCAGUUUAAAUAACUGGUGAAGAAAGGGCCGGGCAAGACCGGUGCCAGCCGCCGCGGUAAUACCGGCGGCUCGAGUGGUGGCCACUAUUACUGGGCUUAAAGCGUUCGUAGCUGGUUUGUUAAGUCUCUGGGGAAAUCUUCCGGCUUAACCGGAAGGCGUCUCAGGGAUACUGGCAGACUAGGGACCGGAAGAGGUGAGAGGUACUCCAGGGGUAGGAGUGAAAUCCUGUAAUCCUUGGGGGACCACCUGUGGCGAAGGCGUCUCACCAGAACGGCUCCGACAGUGAGGGACGAAAGCUGGGGGAGCAAACCGGAUUAGAUACCCGGGUAGUCCCAGCCGUAAACGAUGUGCAUUAGGUGUAUCGGUGACCACGAGUCACCGAGGUGCCGAAGAGAAAUCGUGAAAUGCACCGCCUGG
rnacentral:rRNA from 1 species